rnacentral:rRNA from 1 species
GACGAACGCUGGCGGCGUGCCUAAUACAUGCAAGUAGAACGCACAGUUUAUACCGUAGCUUGCUACACCAUAGACUGUGAGUUGCGAACGGGUGAGUAACGCGUAGGUAACCUGCCUGGUAGCGGGGGAUAACUAUUGGAAACGAUAGCUAAUACCGCAUAAUAUUAAUUAUUGCAUGAUAAUUAAUUGAAAGGUGCAAUUGCACCACUACCAGAUGGACCUGCGUUGUAUUAGCUAGUAGGCGAGGUAACGGCUCACCUAGGCGACGAUACAUAGCCGACCUGAGAGGGUGAUCGGCCACACUGGGACUGAGACACGGCCCAGACUCCUACGGGAGGCAGCAGUAGGGAAUCUUCGGCAAUGGACGAAAGUCUGACCGAGCAACGCCGCGUGAGUGAAGAAGGUUUUCGGAUCGUAAAGCUCUGUUGUAAGAGAAGAACGGGUGUGAGAGUGGAAAGUUCACACUGUGACGGUAUCUUACCAGAAAGGGACGGCUAACUACGUG